AUGAGCUCACUGGUUCUACUGCUGGCCACCCUGGGGCUCCUGGUUCAGGGUUCAUCAGGACAAAUCGCUGUGACUCAGUCUCCUGAAUCUCAGUCUGUUGUUCCAGGACAGACUGUCUCCAUCAGAUGUAAAACCAGUUCAAGUGCCAGCAGCUAUCUCAGCUGGUACCUUCAGAAACCUGGAGAAGCUCCUAAACUCCUGAUUUAUGUAGCUACAAGCCGUCAGUCUGGAGUUCCAGGUCGUUUCAGUGGAAGUGGAUCUGGGACUGACUUCACUCUGACCAUCAGUGGAGUUCAGGCUGAAGAUUCAGGAGUUUACUACUGUCAGCAGGGUAACAGCUGGCCGUUCACACAGUGAUACAACGUCGUACAAAAACCUCCCUCAGCUGGAGAGGAACUGAUCUGAAUCAACAGCUGCACUCAAACCAAAACUAAAGGUUAUAAUAAUAAUUCACUUACUUAUUCACAAUAUUUGAACAUUUAAUACACUGUACAUAACAAAAAGUUAUAUUUUUAAUGUAUUCACUCAAACAGGUUUUGAAACAUCUUGUUGCACAUUAAAGCAGCAGGAUGAUACUGAUGAAACUCUUGACGUAUGAUUUCAGCUCUUUGAUAAGUUUAUUCCCUGCACCAUGAUGACAUAUAAACACUAAAGUUGUUGAUAUUGACUUAUCAUCUGUCAUAG